rnacentral:lncRNA from 1 species
CUUCUACAGCCUUCCCUGGAGUCACUACCUUCUACACAGUGCCUAAGAGCGAGCCCAUGAAACAUUCAUGGUGGCUAAUCCACUGUGGAGGACCUGCUGAUGCCUGUCCUGAUAGAACUGGCAGGCCCUACAUGGUGGGAGAACCAAGCCCUACAAGUUGUCCUCUGACAUCUACCAGUGCCAUGGUGCGCCUGUGCACAUGUUAAAUAAUCUCUACAAAAUCAUCACAGGGACAGCAAGGAAUCCCAAAGCGGUUUGACUUGAACACACGUCAAAGAGUCUUCCAAUAACUUCUGGGCCGUGCUAUUGGACGAUCUCAGAUGCACACACUGGAGUAGGCUGGACCUCGGGAAAGGAAAAUGGUUCACCACCUCGUGCUUCAAGUGCUCAUUGACCUGGGUAGUUAGUGUACUAGGCAGUUAGACCAGAAUAGUUUGGGCAUCUGUCAUACUCUGUUAGUGGCAUGAGGUCAAGGAUGAGGGAAUGGUAUGGAUGUUUCUAGAGAUCCACAAUCACUUACCUCAUUUUGUCUAAGGGGUUGAGUUUUCAGGGUCUAGGAUCUUUUAAGAAAAUUUUGUG